UCUGCCUGGUAGUGGGGGAUAACUUGCCGAAAGGUAAGCUAAUACCGCGUACGUCCUACGGGAGAAAGCAGGGGAUCUUCGGACCUUGCGCUAUCAGAUGAGCCCAGGCCGGAUUAGCUAGUUGGUAAGGUAAUGGCUUACCAAGGCUACGAUCCGUAGCUGGUCUGAGAGGAUGAUCAGCCACACCGGGACUGAGACACGGCCCGGACUCCUACGGGAGGCAGCAGUGGGGAAUAUUGGACAAUGGGGGGAACCCUGAUCCAGCCAUGCCGCGUGUGUGAAUAAGGUCUUCGGAUUGUAAAGCACUUUAAGUUGUGAGGAAGGGCUCCGGGUUAAUACCCUGUGAGUUUUGACGUUAGCAACAGAAUAAGCACCGGCUAACUUCGUGCCAGCAGCCGCGGUAAUACGAAGGGUGCGAGCGUUAAUCGGAAUUACUGGGCGUAAAGCGCGCGUAGGUGGUUGGGUAAGUUGGAAGUGAAAGCCCCGGGCUUAACCUGGGAAUUGCUUUCAAAACUGCCUGGCUAGAGUACGGUAGAGGGUAGUUGGAUUUCCUGUGUACCGGUGAAAUGCGUAGAUAUAUGAAGGAACAUCAGUGGCGAAGGCGAAUGGCUG
rnacentral:rRNA from 1 species